GCCCCCUGGUUCUGGGGGCUGGCAGGACUGAGGGGCCCGCACAGUCUGUUUCUGGCGGAGGGCCUCUUUCUGGCCUCAGGUGGCCGUCUUCGGUCCUCCCCGGUGGAGAGAGGGCCCUCUGUCUUCCUCUCCUCACAAGGGUGCUGAUCCCACCACAGAAGCCGCACCCUCAGACCUCAUCUCAACAGCUGGAGGCUUUUAUCCUCCACUUUAUCGCCAGGAGGGGUGUAUUCUACAAAGCUCUUGAACCUCAGAGUCCCUGGACUGCCCCACGUCUCUGACGCCUUUGGGAAUCUCCCUCCACCUCCGGCCAUCACUCCUGCCUCCACUCUUGCUUUCCUCUCGAAGGUGUUACCCCACACAACUGCCCCAACAUGUGAAGUGAACACGAACAGUCACCAGAAACACCAGAAUAGCUCCACACUUUCCUACGCAUUGGGCACUGUUUUGUCACUGCUUUAUUGUUUUGCAACCAAACACGAAGAGGAAAUUAGUAUGUUGAGAUCAGCUGUGUGAAAAUAGCAACUAUGAAUUCAAGAAAGACAAAAGGAAUAAAAUUCUAUGAAAAAAUUAAGCUGA